GGGUUGUGAGGUUAAGCGACUAAGCGUACACGGUGGAUGCCCUGGCAGUCAGAGGCGAUGAAGGACGUGCUAAUCUGCGAUAAGCGUCGGUGAGGUGAUAUGAACCGUUAUAACCGGCGAUUUCCGAAUGGGGAAACCCAGUGUGUUUCGACACACUAUCAUUAACUGAAUCCAUAGGUUAAUGAGGCGAACCGGGGGAACUGAAACAUCUAAGUACCCCGAGGAAAAGAAAUCAACCGAGAUUCCCCCAGUAGCGGCGAGCGAACGGGGAGGAGCCCAGAGCCUGAAUCAGUGUGUGUGUUAGUGGAAGCGUCUGGAAAGGCGUGCGAUACAGGGUGACAGCCCCGUACACAAAAAUGCACAUAUUGUGAGCUCGAUGAGUAGGGCGGGACACGUGGUAUCCUGUCUGAAUAUGGGGGGACCAUCCUCCAAGGCUAAAUACUCCUGACUGACCGAUAGUGAACCAGUACCGUGAGGGAAAGGCGAAAAGAACCCCGGCGAGGGGAGUGAAAAAGAACCUGAAACCGUGUACGUACAAGCAGUGGGAGCCUCUUAAUGGGGUGACUGCGUACCUUUUGUAUAAUGGGUCAGCGACUUAUAUUCUGUAGCAAGGUUAACCGAAUAGGGGAGCCGAAGGGAAACCGAGUCUUAACUGGGCGUUAAGUUGCAGGGUAUAGACCCGAAACCCGGUGAUCUAGCCAUGGGCAGGUUGAAGGUUGGGUAACACUAACUGGAGGACCGAACCGACUAAUGUUGAAAAAUUAGCGGAUGACUUGUGGCUGGGGGUGAAAGGCCAAUCAAACCGGGAGAUAGCUGGUUCUCCCCGAAAGCUAUUUAGGUAGCGCCUCGUGAAUUCAUCUCCGGGGGUAGAGCACUGUUUCGGCAAGGGGGUCAUCCCGACUUACCAACCCGAUGCAAACUGCGAAUACCGGAGAAUGUUAUCACGGGAGACACACGGCGGGUGCUAACGUCCGUCGUGAAGAGGGAAACAACCCAGACCGCCAGCUAAGGUCCCAAAGUCAUGGUUAAGUGGGAAACGAUGUGGGAAGGCCCAGACAGCCAGGAUGUUGGCUUAGAAGCAGCCAUCAUUUAAAGAAAGCGUAAUAGCUCACUGGUCGAGUCGGCCUGCGCGGAAGAUGUAACGGGGCUAAACCAUGCACCGAAGCUGCGGCAGCGACACUAUGUGUUGUUGGGUAGGGGAGCGUUCUGUAAGCCUGUGAAGGUGGCCUGUGAGGGUUGCUGGAGGUAUCAGAAGUGCGAAUGCUGACAUAAGUAACGAUAAAGCGGGUGAAAAGCCCGCUCGCCGGAAGACCAAGGGUUCCUGUCCAACGUUAAUCGGGGCAGGGUGAGUCGACCCCUAAGGCGAGGCCGAAAGGCGUAGUCGAUGGGAAACAGGUUAAUAUUCCUGUACUUGGUGUUACUGCGAAGGGGGGACGGAGAAGGCUAUGUUGGCCGGGCGACGGUUGUCCCGGUUUAAGCGUGUAGGCUGGUUUUCCAGGCAAAUCCGGAAAACCAAGGCUGAGGCGUGAUGACGAGGCACUACGGUGCUGAAGUGACAAAUGCCCUGCUUCCAGGAAAAGCCUCUAAGCAUCAGGUAACAUCAAAUCGUACCCCAAACCGACACAGGUGGUCAGGUAGAGAAUACCAAGGCGCUUGAGAGAACUCGGGUGAAGGAACUAGGCAAAAUGGUGCCGUAACUUCGGGAGAAGGCACGCUGAUAUGUAGGUGAAGCGACUUGCUCGUGGAGCUGAAAUCAGUCGAAGAUACCAGCUGGCUGCAACUGUUUAUUAAAAACACAGCACUGUGCAAACACGAAAGUGGACGUAUACGGUGUGACGCCUGCCCGGUGCCGGAAGGUUAAUUGAUGGGGUUAGCGGUAACGCGAAGCUCUUGAUCGAAGCCCCGGUAAACGGCGGCCGUAACUAUAACGGUCCUAAGGUAGCGAAAUUCCUUGUCGGGUAAGUUCCGACCUGCACGAAUGGCGUAAUGAUGGCCAGGCUGUCUCCACCCGAGACUCAGUGAAAUUGAACUCGCUGUGAAGAUGCAGUGUACCCGCGGCAAGACGGAAAGACCCCGUGAACCUUUACUAUAGCUUGACACUGAACAUUGAGCCUUGAUGUGUAGGAUAGGUGGGAGGCUUUGAAGUGUGGACGCCAGUCUGCAUGGAGCCGACCUUGAAAUACCACCCUUUAAUGUUUGAUGUUCUAACGUUGGCCCGUAAUCCGGGUUGCGGACAGUGUCUGGUGGGUAGUUUGACUGGGGCGGUCUCCUCCUAAAGAGUAACGGAGGAGCACGAAGGUUGGCUAAUCCUGGUCGGACAUCAGGAGGUUAGUGCAAUGGCAUAAGCCAGCUUGACUGCGAGCGUGACGGCGCGAGCAGGUGCGAAAGCAGGUCAUAGUGAUCCGGUGGUUCUGAAUGGAAGGGCCAUCGCUCAACGGAUAAAAGGUACUCCGGGGAUAACAGGCUGAUACCGCCCAAGAGUUCAUAUCGACGGCGGUGUUUGGCACCUCGAUGUCGGCUCAUCACAUCCUGGGGCUGAAGUAGGUCCCAAGGGUAUGGCUGUUCGCCAUUUAAAGUGGUACGCGAGCUGGGUUUAGAACGUCGUGAGACAGUUCGGUCCCUAUCUGCCGUGGGCGCUGGAGAACUGAGGGGGGCUGCUCCUAGUACGAGAGGACCGGAGUGGACGCAUCACUGGUGUUCGGGUUGUCAUGCCAAUGGCACUGCCCGGUAGCUAAAUGCGGAAGAGAUAAGUGCUGAA
rnacentral:rRNA from 1 species